rnacentral:tRNA from 1 species
CGGGGUGUAGCUCAGUAGGUAGAGCGCUGCGUUUGGGACGCAGAGGUCGCUGGUUCGAGACCAGUCACCCCGA